UACGUAGGGACCAAGCGUUGUUCGGAUUUACUGGGCGUAAAGGGCGCGUAGGCGGUCGUGACAAGUCACUUGUGAAAUCUCCGGGCUUAACUCGGAACGGUCAAGUGAUACUGUCGGACUAGAGUACAGAAGGGGCAACUGGAAUUCUCGGUGUAGCGGUGAAAUGCGUAGAUAUCGGAAGGAACACCAGUGGCGAAAGCGGCUUCCUGGUCCAGCAUCGACGUUCAGGCACGAAAGCGUGGGGAGCAAACAGG
rnacentral:rRNA from 1 species